rnacentral:rRNA from 1 species
GGUUGAUCCUGCCAGUAGUCAUAUGCUUGUCUCAAAGAUUAAGCCAUGCAAGUCUAAGUAUAAACAAAUCUAUACUGUGAAACUGCGAACGGCUCAUUAAAUCAGUUAUAGUUUAUUUGAUGGUACCUUACUACUUGGAUAACCGUGGUAAUUCUAGAGCUAAUACAUGCACAACAGCCCUGACUUCUGGAAAGGGUGUAUUUAUUAGAUAAAAAACCAAUGUGGGCAACCACUUUUUUGGUGAAUCAUUUUAACUUUGCGAAUCGCAUGGCCUUGUGCCGGCGAUGCUUCAU